rnacentral:rRNA from 1 species
UACAGAGGUCUCGAGCGUUAGGCGGAAUCACUGGGCUUAAAGCGUGUGUAGGCGGAUGCCUAAGUACCUUGUGAAAUCCCACGCUUAACCGUGGAACUGCUUGGUAUACUGGGUGUCUUGAGCCACUCAGGGGCGAGCGGAACAAAUGGUGGAGCGGUGAAAUGCGUAGAUAUCAUUUGGAACGCCAAUGGUGAAAACAGCUCGCUGGGGGUGUGCUGACGCUGAGACACGAAAGCCAGGGAGCGAACGGG